GGAAGGAUCAUUACCGAUUCCGAGCCUUUAUUACUCACACCUUUGUGCACCGCCAAGGCCUCCCCAUUUGGAGCCGCUCGGCAUCGCGCUCGCGCGAAUAGGUCCGGGUCGAGGUCUGUUGGCCGUCAUUACCGCCUGUCUGUAUAUGCAUGUGUAGAGCGGAUCAAUAACAACUUUCAACAACGGAUCUCUUGGCUUUCGCAUCGAUGAAGGACGCCGCGAACGCGCGAAACGUAAUGUGAAUUGCAGAAUUCAGUGAAUCAUCGAAUCUUUGAACGCAUCUUGCGCCCCUUGGCAUUCCGAGGAGCAUGCCUGUUUGAGUGUCGCGAACGUGUUCAAGCCUCCGCGUAGAGGUUUGGGAUUGGACGCUUUGUCGCCAACGGCGACUCGUCUCGAAACGCAUAUAGUCGGUCCCCGGUCGAAGUUUCAAACGCGACGUGAUAAGUCGACGUCGCGGUCGAACUCGGGGCCCCGCUCGACGUCCGGCCUCGUCGGACUUUCGCCUUCGGGCGGAAACCGUUAACCGUCUGACCUCAAAUCAGGUAGGAUUACCCGCUGAACUUAAGCAUAUCAAUAAGCGGAGGAAAAGAAACUAACCAGGAUUCCCCUAGUAACGGCGAGUGAAGCGGGAAGAGCUCAAAUUUGUAAUCUGGCGGCCUCGAGGCCGUCCGAGUUGUAAUCUGGAGAAGCGCUUUCCGCGCCGGCACCGUGUACAAGUCCCUUGGAACAGGGCGUCGCAGAGGGUGAGAAUCCCGUCUUUGACACGGACCGUCGGGGCUUAUGCGAUGCGCUCUCGAAGAGUCGAGUUGUUUGGGAAUGCAGCUCAAAACGGGUGGUAAAUUCCAUCUAAAGCUAAAUACGGGCGAAAGACCGAUAGCGAACAAGUACCGUGAGGGAAAGAUGAAAAGCACUUUGAAAAGAGAGUUAAACAGUACGUGAAAUUGUUGAAAGGGAAACGCUCGAAGUCAGUCGCGUCUCUCGAGACUCAGCUUCGCGUUAGCGCGGAGGGCAUUUCUCGAGUCGGACGGGCCAGCGUCGAUUUCGUCCGACGGACAAAAGGGGGAGGAAAGUGGCACCCUUCGGAGUGUGUUAUAGCCUCCCCUUGUAUGCGUCGGAGGAGAUCGAGGACCGCAGCACGCCCUCCGGGGCCGGGGUUCGCCCACGUAACGUGCUUAGGACGCUGGCGUAAUGGCUUUUAGCGACCCGUCUUGAAACACGGACCAAGGAGUCUAACGCGCCCUGCGAGUGUUUGGGUGGCAAACCCGGACGCGUAACGAAAGUGAAAUCAAAGUCGAGACCCCCGUCGCGGGGGGGCAUCGACGCCCGGGCUCGAGCUUUUUGCGACGGCUCCCAGGUAGAGCAAGCGCGUUGGGACCCGAAAGAUGGUGAACUAUGCCCGAGUAGGGCGAAGCCAGAGGAAACUCU
rnacentral:rRNA from 1 species